GCCUGCCGCCCAGCUGGGGUCUGAGGUUUAGACUGUAACGGUGAUAUCCUCUCCUCGUUGAGCUCUUUAUCCCUUUCAAAGCAGUCUCUGCCACCGUCCUCUUCCUUCUGAAGCCUGUGAAGUCUUCUCACUUGCCAGAUGAGCUGGAAGGAAGUACUGAGAGGAACAUUACAGGUAUUAUAGAGGCUGUUUGCUCCCUCCCCCGAGUCCGUCCCUGGCCUCCACUUCCUGGAUAACGGCACUGUUGGGAGCUUAGUGUGAUCAGCACAGGGGUCCAGGGCUUGGGCUCUGGAGCCAAACUGCUAAGCGAGUCCUGCGGCCCAGCAUAACUUCCAAAGGGGCCGAGAAGUGUGAUCCGACCACACGCCAGAUGGCCGACCGGACCGUGGGAAUGCUUCUAAUGUGCUCCCAUUACGUAUGGUGUUUGCUGUAAGUUUCUAGUAGAUAACCCUUUAUCACGUUAAGAAAUGCGUUCCUAAGUUUGUUUAGAGUUUAAGUAAAGAGUGUGUUCUUAUCAUGAAUGAGAAUUAAAUUUUAUCAAACGACUUUA